CACGUAGGGGGCGAGCGUUGUCCGGAUUUAUUGGGCGUAAAGAGCUCGUAGGCGGCUAAGUAAGUCGGGUGUGAAAACUCCAGGCUCAACCUGGAGACGCCACCCGAUACCGCUUUAGCUAGAGUCCGGUAGGGGAGCAUGGAAUUCCUGGUGUAGCGGUGAAAUGCGCAGAUAUCAGGAGGAACACCAGUGGCGAAGGCGGCUCACUGGACCGGUUCUGACGCUGAGGCGCGAAAGCGUGGGAGCAAACGGG
rnacentral:rRNA from 1 species